AACGAACGCUGGCGGCAGGCUUAACACAUGCAAGUCGAACGCAUCGCAAGAUGAGUGGCAGACGGGUGAGUAACGCGUGGGAACAUACCCUUUUCUACGGAAUAGCUCUGGGAAACUGGAAUUAAUACCGUAUACGCCCUACGGGGGAAAGAUUUAUCGGGGAAGGAUUGGCCUGCGUUGGAUUAGCUAGUUGGUGGGGUAAAGGCCUACCAAGGCGACGAUCCAUAGCUGGUCUGAGAGGAUGAUCAGCCACAUUGGGACUGAGACACGGCCCAAACUCCUACGGGAGGCAGCAGUGGGGAAUAUCGGACAAUGGGCGCAAGCCUGAUCCAGCCAUGCCGCGUGAGUGAUGAAGGCCUUAGGGUUGUAAAGCUCUUUCACCGAUGAAGAUAAUGACGGUAGUCGGAGAAGAAGCCCCGGCUAACUUCGUGCCAGCCGCCGCCGUAAUAC
rnacentral:rRNA from 1 species